rnacentral:rRNA from 1 species
ACGAACGCUGGCGGCGUGCUUCACACAUGCAAGUCGCACGGAAAGGCCCUGCUUUUGUGGGGUGCUCGAGUGGCGAACGGGUGAGUAACACGUGAGUAACCUGCCCUUGACUUUGGGAUAACUUCAGGAAACUGGGGCUAAUACCGGAUAGGAGCUCCUGCUGCAUGGUGGGGGUUGGAAAGUUUCGGCGGUUGGGGAUGGACUCGCGGCUUAUCAGCUUGUUGGUGGGGUAGUGGCUUACCAAGGCUUUGACGGGUAGCCGGCCUGAGGGGGUGACCGGCCAAAUUGGGACUGAGAUACGGCCCAGACUCCUACGGGAGGCAGCAGUGGGGAAUAUUGGACAAUGGGCGGAAGCCUGAUGCAGCAACGCCGCGGGCGGGAUGAAGGCCUUCGGGGUGUAAACCGCUUUCGCCUGUGACGAAGCGUGAGUGACGGUAAUGGGUAAAGAAGCACCGGCUAACUACGUG